rnacentral:rRNA from 1 species
AUGGUAGUCUUCGGACUUGGGCUCCGGGUAGAUGACUUGAGGGUCUCAGUCAGGAGCACUUGUGGCAAAGAAGUGCCCGCGAACGAGACGAUGCAACACGAACAGGAGGCGGAUGUCACGUUUGGCGAGCGGCGGGGCCCCUGGUCGGAGUCGGUAGGGACGGCACGAGGCGGUGACGAAGAGGUCGCAGGGAGAGCUGCUGGAGGUGGAUGCAGAGGGUCGAACAGGAAUGUGGCGGCGCAGCAGCAGCUAGCGAGGCAUGGGGGAGGCCUUGCGCGGCGCCGGAGACGGGGAACAGGUGGAACCGAGGUUCCCCGGCAGCAGGGAUGGCGUCUGGCGAUGCACGGCCCGGGCGGCUCGAUGCAGGGCGCGAGAGGAGGCUAG